CAUAGGUUAAUGAGGCGAACCGGGGGAACUGAAACAUCUAAGUACCCCGAGGAAAAGAAAUCAACCGAGAUUCCCCCAGUAGCGGCGAGCGAACGGGGAGCAGCCCAGAGCCUGAAUCAGUGUGUGUGUUAGUGGAAGCGUCUGGAAAGGCGCGCGAUACAGGGUGACAGCCCCGUACACAAAAAUGCACAUGCUGUGAGCUCGAUGAGUAGGGCGGGACACGUGGUAUCCUGUCUGAAUAUGGGGGGACCAUCCUCCAAGGCUAAAUACUCCUGACUGACCGAUAGUGAACCAGUACCGUGAGGGAAAGGCGAAAAGAACCCCGGCGAGGGGAGUGAAAAAGAACCUGAAACCGUGUACGUACAAGCAGUGGGAGCACGCUUAGGCGUGUGACUGCGUACCUUUUGUAUAAUGGGUCAGCGACUUAUAUUCUGUAGCAAGGUUAACCGAAUAGGGGAGCCGAAGGGAAACCGAGUCUUAACUGGGCGUUAAGUUGCAGGGUAUAGACCCGAAACCCGGUGAUCUAGCCAUGGGCAGGUUGAAGGUUGGGUAACACUAACUGGAGGACCGAACCGACUAAUGUUGAAAAAUUAGCGGAUGACUUGUGGCUGGGGGUGAAAGGCCAAUCAAACCGGGAGAUAGCUGGUUCUCCCCGAAAGCUAUUUAGGUAGCGCCUCGUGAAUUCAUCUCCGGGGGUAGAGCACUGUUUCGGCAAGGGGGUCAUCCCGACUUACCAACCCGAUGCAAACUGCGAAUACCGGAGAAUGUUAUCACGGGAGACACACGGCGGGUGCUAACGUCCGUCGUGAAGAGGGAAACAACCCAGACCGCCAGCUAAGGUCCCAAAGUCAUGGUUAAGUGGGAAACGAUGUGGGAAGGCCCAGACAGCCAGGAUGUUGGCUUAGAAGCAGCCAUCAUUUAAAGAAAGCGUAAUAGCUCACUGGUCGAGUCGGCCUGCGCGGAAGAUGUAACGGGGCUAAACCAUGCACCGAAGCUGCGGCAGCGACGCUUAUGCGUUGUUGGGUAGGGGAGCGUUCUGUAAGCCUGUGAAGGUGUGCUGUGAGGCAUGCUGGAGGUAUCAGAAGUGCGAAUGCUGACAUAAGUAACGAUAAAGCGGGUGAAAAGCCCGCUCGCCGGAAGACCAAGGGUUCCUGUCCAACGUUAAUCGGGGCAGGGUGAGUCGACCCCUAAGGCGAGGCCGAAAGGCGUAGUCGAUGGGAAACAGGUUAAUAUUCCUGUACUUGGUGUUACUGCGAAGGGGGGACGGAGAAGGCUAUGUUGGCCGGGCGACGGUUGUCCCGGUUUAAGCGUGUAGGCUGGUUUUCCAGGCAAAUCCGGAAAAUCAAGGCUGAGGCGUGAUGACGAGGCACUACGGUGCUGAAGCAACAAAUGCCCUGCUUCCAGGAAAAGCCUCUAAGCAUCAGGUAACAUCAAAUCGUACCCCAAACCGACACAGGUGGUCAGGUAGAGAAUACCAAGGCGCUUGAGAGAACUCGGGUGAAGGAACUAGGCAAAAUGGUGCCGUAACUUCGGGAGAAGGCACGCUGAUAUGUAGGUGAAGUCCCUUGCGGAUGGAGCUGAAAUCAGUCGAAGAUACCAGCUGGCUGCAACUGUUUAUUAAAAACACAGCACUGUGCAAACACGAAAGUGGACGUAUACGGUGUGACGCCUGCCCGGUGCCGGAAGGUUAAUUGAUGGGGUUAGCGCAAGCGAAGCUCUUGAUCGAAGCCCCGGUAAACGGCGGCCGUAACUAUAACGGUCCUAAGGUAGCGAAAUUCCUUGUCGGGUAAGUUCCGACCUGCACGAAUGGCGUAAUGAUGGCCAGGCUGUCUCCACCCGAGACUCAGUGAAAUUGAACUCGCUGUGAAGAUGCAGUGUACCCGCGGCAAGACGGAAAGACCCCGUGAACCUUUACUAUAGCUUGACACUGAACAUUGAGCCUUGAUGUGUAGGAUAGGUGGGAGGCUUUGAAGUGUGGACGCCAGUCUGCAUGGAGCCGACCUUGAAAUACCACCCUUUAAUGUUU
rnacentral:rRNA from 1 species